rnacentral:miRNA from 1 species
AGUGAAUGUUACUUCGGUAAUG